AGCUUUGCACAGUGGCAUUAUUCUAACCACUGGGGUUUAUCCAAGGUGUGAUUAUUGCUAAUUGAAAACUUUAUGAUAACUUUGAAUGUUUAUAUAGGUAAAUAACUGAUGAUGUUAUCAAUGAC
ensembl:snRNA U4 U4 spliceosomal RNA